ACGUGGUCUUUGGACCGUGCGGGAAAAUGGGGGGGACCUUCGGGCCUUCUGUCAUCAGAUGAGUCUGCGUACCAUUAGCUAGUUGGUAGGGUAAUGGCCUACCAAGGCUACGAUGGUUAGCUGGUUUGAGAGAAUGAUCAGCCACACUGGAACUGAGACACGGUCCAGACUCCUACGGGAGGCAGCAGUGGGGAAUUUUGCGCAAUGGGCGAAAGCCUGACGCAGCAACGCCGCGUGAGUGAUGAAGGCUUUCGGGUCGUAAAGCUCUGUCGAGGGGAAAGAAGUGUAUUGUGGCUAAUAUCCACGAUACUUGACGGUACCCCUAAAGGAAGCACCGGCUAACUCCGUGCCAGCAGCCGCGGUAA
rnacentral:rRNA from 1 species